GGGCCAGUUUACUCUACAUAACAAAGAACUACCUCCUUCAGGCAGAGCCACUUAAUUGCCCUUCAUUGCACCACCCAGCAAAUUUAUUGCUAAUUC